rnacentral:tRNA from 1 species
AGGGUAAUAGUUAAAUAUAACAUCUAAUUUGCACUUAGAAAGUAUUGAUCUAUCAAUUUACCUUA